ensembl:lncRNA
UAGGCCAACAGCUUUUGCAUGCCUGGAGCUUCUCUGUGCUUUGGCUUCUGACGGUCCACACCUGUGACUCUUUUAAGACAUCAUUUUUUUGGCUACUGGAGCUUCUUUGCCCUGACAUGUGGAGCCAGAAGUACCUGGGGUUACGUUUCCCAGGGUGAGGGUUGGGGGCUUAGUCAAUAACUGCCUGGUGCUGGCGUGUGAAAACCAAGCUUCCUUGCCUCCAGUUGAAACAAACUGAGUUAUAAUUUAUACUUUGGAGCUCCCCUGAAGGAUCAUGCUGAAGCUGGGAGUUGGCUUGGAAUAGCAUCCUUGUUUGGCUUCUUCCCCUUCCCUGGCCUGCUUCUCACACUCCCUUCCUGGUUUCUCCAAGGAGCAUGAAAGACAGAAACUAAGACAGCAUUCAGACAACAUGUGAUUUGCAAUGAAUUUUCAAGGCCCAGGAGAAGUUUACUGAUGCCAAUUAUAAGAAACAUUUUGACAGCCACCAUCUGGAGCAAUGCUUAAGUGAAUAUAAGCUGCUAAAAAUGAGUUUAACAUGAUAACCAGUUUAUUGGGCAGGUUACAGAAAUCUCUCUCUACAAACUAUUCAUCAGGGAUUGAGAUCAUUUGCUCAAACUUUUCUAACAUUUCCCUACCGGUUGGAAAGGAGGAAGCACAAACACCAAAGACCAGACUGAAAUGAGUUAUAGAUUUGGGACUAAUUGGUGCCUGAUUAAAGCUGUUCAACCAUGACCAUGUUGUAAAAUAGAAGCAAAAAUGGGACCCUGGCAGGAAGACCCGUAAUUACUAUGACAAAGAAACAGCAAUCUCAGUGCUAAAUUAAAAAUGGAAGUGUUUUACAUUUCCUUGAGAAAGGAGGUUCCAUAAGACUGUCUUUUACUCGUAUAAGUAAUCUGUGAAAUUGUUAUUAAAUAUUAAAUUUAACAUUGGAAAAAGCAGUUUGUGCAUCAUUCUCACAUAAUUGUUAACCAUUAAUUAAUCCACUAACUUCAAAAUAAUUAAGUGAUGGCAUAGAUACAAUGCCAGUUCACAAACUCAAGCUACGCAUUAGUGACUUUCAGAUAUGCAGAUUCUACUUUCUAUACGAUUUAUAAUAGAUGCGGGGGGAGUGUGUUCAUCUUUCUAAUGUGUUUUAUUCAGAAAUAACUCUCCUAGUAAAGCAGGUUUAAGGUAUUAAGCCACUGCCUUCUAUAUGUUUCAUUUGCAAAUGAGUUACCUUCAUGUAAAGAUUUCUCUCAGUUCUUAUAUUGUUUUCACAAAUAUUUCACAAGGAAAGAAAGAACACUCAGUGGUGCUGAUACGUUUCAACCAUUUGGAUUGUGCUUUUGUUUAUGAUCUAGGCUGCAAUUCAUUCAUUCAUUCAUUCAUUCCUUCAACCAACAUUUGGUCACCUGCAGUUUGCAGGCACUGGGAAUGCCAUAAUAGCUAAGACAGGGCUCCCUCCCUCGUGAAGUUCAGAGGCCAGCAUGAGAGACAGACAACAUAGAACAACCACCAAUAUGAUGUGAUAAAUGCUAAAAUAGACACAUUUAUCAGAUCUUAGAAGACCUUAGUUGGACGGCAAGGGAAAGAGGAUGGUGGAUGAAGCAGUAGGCAUCUAGGAAGAGAAAACUUAGACACUUGCCAUUUGAAUUUGGUCCUAAGUGAAGAGCAGGAUUUUU